rnacentral:rRNA from 1 species
UACGUAGGGUGCAAGCGUUGUCCGGAAUUAUUGGGCGUAAAGAGCUCGUAGGCGGUGUGUCGCGUCGGCUGUGAAAACCUGGGGCUCAACCCUGGGCUUGCAGCUGAUACGGGCAGACUGGAGUUCGGCAGGGGAGACUGGAAUUCCUGGUGUAGCGGUGAAAUGCGUAGAUAUCUGGAGGAACACCGGUGGCGAAGGCGGCAUCCUGGACCGGCAUUGACGCUGAGGAGCGAAAGCCAGGGGAGCAAACGGG